GGGUUGCAUUCAGAAGAUGUGGGGUAGUAUCCUGCAGGUUUUAUCA
rnacentral:tRNA from 1 species